AACUUUCAACAACGGAUCUCUUGGUUCUGGCAUCGAUGAAGAACGCAGCGAAAUGCGAUAAGUAAUGUGAAUUGCAGAAUUCAGUGAAUCAUCGAAUCUUUGAACGCACAUUGCGCCCGCCAGCAUUCUGGCGGGCAUGCCUGCCCGAGCGUCAUUU
rnacentral:rRNA from 1 species